rnacentral:rRNA from 1 species
CACUCCUGCGGGAGGCAGCAGUGGGGAAUAUUGCACAAUGGGCGCAAGCCUGAUGCAGCCAUGCCGCGUGUAUGAAGAAGGCCUUCGGGUUGUAAAGUACUUUCAGCGGGGAGGAAGGCGAUAAGGUUAAUAACCUUGUUGAUUGACGUUACCCGCAGAAGAAGCACCGGCUAACUCCGUGCCAGCAGCCGCGGUAAUACGGAGGGUGCAAGCGUUAAUCGGAAUUACUGGGCGUAAAGCGCACGCAGGCGGUCUGUCAAGUCGGAUGUGAAAUCCCCGGGCUCAACCUGGGAACUGCAUUCGAAACUGGCAGGCUAGAGUCUUGUAGAGGGGGGUAGAAUUCCAGGUGUAGCGGUGAAAUGCGUAGAGAUCUGGAGGAAUACCGGUGGCGAAGGCGGCCCCCUGGACAAAGACUGACGCUCAGGUGCGAAAGCGUGGGGAGCAAACAGGAUUAGAAACCCUGGUAGUCCCA